UGUGUCUAGUCCCUAUAUAAUUAAUAAUAAUUGAAUGAAUUAUAUAGGGACUAGACACAAG
rnacentral:pre_miRNA from 1 species